GAGUUUGAUCAUGGCUCAGGAUGAACGCUGGCGGCGUGCCUAAUACAUGCAAGUCGAACGAACAGAUAAGGAGCUUGCUCCUUUGACGUUAGCGGCGGACGGGUGAGUAACACGUGGGUAACCUACCUAUAAGACUGGGAAUAACUCCGGGAAACCGGGGCUAAUGCCGGAUAACAUGUUGAACCGCGUGGUUCUACAGUGAAAGACGGUCUUGCUGUCACUUAUAGAUGGACCCGCGCCGUAUUAGCUAGUUGGUGGGGUAACGGCCUACCAAGGCGACGAUACGUAGCCGACCUGAGAGGGUGAUCGGCCACACUGGAACUGAGACACGGUCCAGACUCCUACGGGAGGCAGCAGUAGGGAAUCUUCCGCAAUGGGCGGAAGCCUGACGGAGCAACGCCGCGUGAGUGAUGAAGGUCUUCGGAUCGUAAAGCUCUGUUGUUAGGGAGAACAAAUGUGUAAGUAACUGUGCAUAUCUUGACGGUACCUAACCAGAAAGCCACGGCUAACUACGUGCCAGCCGCCGCCG
rnacentral:rRNA from 1 species